rnacentral:ncRNA from 2 species
CUAAUGGAUAUGUGAGUGUUAGGGUGGCAAACCCCAGCGCGCAAUGAAAGUGAAUGGAUUCGUUCAGAAUCGACCGAACUUGAUUAUUAUGACAGUUUUGAGUAAACACAUCCAUUGG